UUAUUAUUAUUAUAAUUUGGUGUGUCGUCUGCACUGCCUCUGAUCUGUCCUCAUCUGUAUGUAGGCAGGUUUGUAUGUGUGUAUGUGUGUUGCUGUUGUUUGUGGCCAAGUUACAGGCAUCUUCAGGCCUGAGGGGCGUGGCCUGGCUUGAGGACUGGCCAUACCCAAAGCCCUUGCCACACACCUGCUCCUCAUCUGGGCUCGUCGGGGGAGCUAUUUAGAUGAGCGAUGGAGCUUCCACCGACGCUGGAUUAUUGUGUUUGACUUCACGAGGAACGUGGGACGAGACAGAGCAGUGAGCACGGGGAGUGCAGAGACACUGGAGCAGAGAGCACUACACUGGGACUUUUGGGAAGAAGACACAACACGGGAGUCUGGGACACUGGAGAAUUUAUUGUUGCUUGCUUCACCACCCUUUGUAAAUAAACACUGUUGCACUGAAAAGUCCGGCGUUUGGGUCCUAUUUCCCCAUCUCCCCACGGUCUGCCAGCCAGACCUUGACAGAAUAAUCCAGCCGUUAUGGACCCAGCGGACUCAAGGACCAUCUCACAGGAAGAGUUGCUUGCCCAGCUCUGGAGCUACUGUCGGAGCAUUCUCCAGGGGACAGAUCCUCCUCAAAGACACUUACAGGUCGUAUUUUUUGAUUCCUUCCUAUCAUCAACCACCUUAUCUGUGAGCUUUUUGGACAUUAAGAGACUAAUUUUGAUUAUAACCAUGCUGAGGGCAAGUUCCUGCUUUGAGCUUUUCGGUUUGGGCUGUCCGGGCGAGGAGGAUGUGGCGACCUCCCUGGGAGCCCUUGCUGCCUAUUUCUUUUUCCAUAGGCAGAUAGCUUCCCCACCGUCGUUUGCGGCUCACUUGUUGGACCUUCCAUUGCGGGGGACACAGGUCACACGCCCUCUGCACCUCACCACAUCUCCACUCACCUCCGCGGCAUCUGCUGAGUCAGCAAAGGACCGGCAGCUCAAAGCCACACAGCUGCUCUCCUGUCCGGCCGACUGGUGGAACCUCAGCCUGUCGCGCCGGCCCCGGCAUCAUCAAAGAAGCGACGCUCGUGCCGCCGGCGCCCCUCACCGCCGCCAGAUUCCCUGACUUUCCCUCAGCUGAUUGUGUCACAGCUGAUGGCCCCGCCCCUCCCUGAGCCUGGUUCUGCUGGAGGUUUUAUUCCUGUUAAAAGGGAGUUUUUCCUUCCUCCUGUCCCACUUUCUCACAUGG